UCCCCUCAGUCGGUGGUGAGGCCGCAACCCAUUCCUCUCGCUGUUUAAUCCCACAAGUUCCUUCAGUUACCCCUCAAUGCCCUCGAUGCCAGAUGCUUCAGCCAAUGGCCCUUCCAACUCACCCUCUAGUGAUGCCAAAUCGUUUCGGUUCUUUUAAGAAGAGGACAUAAUUCCAUUCUAACUGAAUCCAAGAAUUCAGUUUCCGACGACGACUUUGAACUGGAUACCUUUGUUAUAGCAUAGAGGCUGAAUUCAGAAUGUCCCGCAAGGGAGAAAAUGAAAAAAAAAAAGUUGAAUGUAAGA